AUAACCUAACCGUAAUGUCUAAUAAUAAAUCUAACCACUAAUGCUAAAACCUAAACCUAGUCACAAUUCUAACCCAAACCCCUACUGUAGGUUUAAGCCACUUUUACCCAUUAAGGCGGAAAGAUACGUUUUUCUUAUUGGAACUGGCUUAAAAACCUUGUGGAUUGAAUGGUAAUAGUAAAUCCAGGGUCACACAUGCAUGCGCACAAAGGUAUUAUAACACACAAGCAGGCACCUGUUCUUAAUCCAUUCUGUGUGUGUGGGUUGUGUGUGUGUGUGUGUCAGCUCAGAGGAUCCAUGCCAGCUCAGCCACCUACCUGGCCCUGAUGAAAGAUGGGGCGUAUGAGCUUCAGCUAAGAGGAGAGAUCGAGGUCAAGGGUAAAGGCAAAAUGAAUACAUAUUGGCUGAUUGGACACAAGAACUACAGUGUUCAGAAUGACAGCUUGGUGUGUCACUGGAAUCCCAAUCUAGCCCGCAAGAAGAAGACCCUGGUGGGCAGUGACAUAUCUAUGGCGAAUUCCUGUGUGACAGUACAGAGCAUCAGUGAGAACACUACCACUCCCGUGCCCCAGGGCUCUGAAGCCCAGCCAGGGUCCCUGUGUGUGUCCGUGUCCGCCCAGGUGGAGCACUGCCCCAGCAGCUUUGGCACCCUGGGCUCCAUGAUUGGUGGCCUACAAGGACUAGAGAGCCCCAGACGGGGGAAAGACCAAGAGGGGACAGGAGGAGACAAACCAGACCUUCUGCCUGGAUCUGUAUGCAUCCCUCAUAUCUAAUGAAGCGAUUGGAUAGUGAGACAGAAACUAAAGUUCAUUUGAUUUUAAAAGCAGUGGUUGAAAGCCUGAAUUGUUUUUGUUGAAGUAUAAGUUAUUUUAAGGAUUGUGUUGAUUUUCAGUAUGGGAACAAACCUGUAUUAUAACUUAUUACUAGUUCAUUUGACUGUUUGGUUAGUUGAGUGUUUCUCAAGCUAGGAGUCGGCAGACAUUCUAGCUGUUAGUGUUGGAGCAGUAACCAAAAGGUAACCUUGUAAAUUCAGUAUUUGUGCCCUUAAGCAAGGUAUUUAAACAUUGUCAGUCUGUAUGAAUGUGUCUUCUCAGUUUCAAAAAUGUAAAUCUAUGGUCCAAAGUGUAACCUUUUUUCUUCUUCUUGGUAAUAUUGCUCUGAUAUUUGAACUGCCUAUUCCUAAAAGAUAACAUUCUCAGGAACGCAUAUUUCCCUCUAUUCUUAAGCCCCAACGUAAUCAAAGGAACUUCAAACCAUAUUUCCUAAAGUUUGAAAUGCAGUCAAAAGAUAUUGUCAAAAGGAUUAUAGACUAACAUAAUGUAUUGUGUGUGCGUGUUGAGCGUGUGACCUUUUUGUUAGAAUAAAAAUAUUUUGUCAUUUAUUUCAUAUGAACUGUUUGUGUGUUGUCAUGUCAAUGUUUUUAAUAGUCUAACUGGAAUAUUGAAAGAUCAAAAUGUCUUUGAACCUCAAAGUUCAAUAGACACAAGACCUUAAAAUUGAUAGCGGUUUUGGAUAAUUUUUCUUUUCCAAAAACAAUAACUUUUCUCAGUUUCAACAUUUG
rnacentral:lncRNA from 1 species